UCUGCUGCGUCCGGACGCAGACGCUUCGGGAAGCUAGAUGUGGUUUUUACCCCCAAAACAUGACAGAGAAGUGAAAGAGAAAACACUAUUUUCACGAUGACUCUGAGGAAGAAAGAUAAAGAUAAAUGAAAGAUAAAUGUAAGUGUCCUAUUUGCGGGGCGACUUUUGCGUCGGCAAAGCGGCACAAUGUGGAGAGACUCGACUUUACUCGCUACAAAGCUUCCAUGCUAACUAGCCACCUGGUAGCGCACAUAGACUGUAUGCGCACUACGGACAGAAAAAGCCUGGGACUUAAAGGCAGCUUUGACAUCUAGUACGCGGCGAAAAGUUUCUUCGUGGAGAAAAAUGUACCAUUAGAAAGGCUUGUUCUAGUGACGACAGACAGGGCUCCCUCCAUGACGGGUCGCCAUGCAGGCUUCAUUGUACGAUGCAGAGGUGAUCCAGACUUCCCAACAUUCCUACAUUACCACUGCAUCAUUCACCAGCAGGACAUAUGUAUGUACAAAAGUGGCCGGAUUUGAUCAUGUGAUGACUCGUGUUGUGAAGAUCAUAAAUGGCUCCAAAGCCAAACAACCAGGACAUUGAAGGUGCUGCUGGAGGAGCUGUCAGCGGAACAUCGUGACCUGUUACUACACACAGAAACCCCAUGGAUCAGCAGGGGACCAGUUUUACAGCGUUUUUUGUCACUGUUGGCCGAAAUCAAAGAGUUGAUGCAAUCCAAAGGGGAAGACACCUUGCUUGCGUGAGGACACUGAGUAAACUCUUGCCCUUUCAUUUUUAACAGACAUCACUGGGAAACUGAACCAUCUGAACUGUGAGCUGCAAGGUAAAGGAAAACUACAUCUCACAGACCCAGUAUCGUUCAUAAUCACAGCCUUCAUCAUUCCACUCUGCGUUUUUUGAUCCACGGCGCCAGAACUCCACACAGUCCUGGUUCCUCCCGUCAUAGCUGUUGGGUUGGCCACUACCCCAGAACCUGCAGAACAAGGAGACACAUGCAGCAAUAGACUAGAAACUACUCUGGCCUUGGACAAAUGGAGUCGACAUAAUUUGGAAUUUUCACUCUUAGGGAUUUAAAGAGGGCUGCAAAGUGGCUGGAUGGUUAUCACUGUCGCCUAACAUCUCGAAAGUCCCCGGUCCAGGCCUGGGCCUGGGAUCUUUCUGUGUGGAGUUUGCAUGUUCUCCCUGUAAAUGAGUGAGUUUUCACUGGGUUCUCCAGCUUCCUCCCACAGUCCAAAAACAUGCUGAGGUUAACUGGUAAUUCUAAAUUGUCCAUAGGUGUGAAAGUGUGUGUGUAAUAGACUGGCGACCUGUCCAGGGUGCAACCUGCCUUCGCCCUAAGUCAGCUGGGAUAGGCUCCAGCCCCUCUGAUGUAUAGGUAAUGGAUGAAUAUAAAGAGAUAUGUAUUUAAUUUCUUACGAUUUGCUCAGCGGUGUCCCAUCUACCCAUUUCCACUGCCCCUCUGUUUCUUUAUCUGUCAGUCCAAUCCAAACUUCUCUGUCACUGGUAUACAAGGUGUUGACGAAGUCCUACGAAGGAAGAGACAUUGAGUUACUGCAAGGUACUGUCAUACAUACAGUUAUAGAUUAGGUGCAGUGGAAGAAGAAGGGCAAAAAUGCUCAUAUCAUUCUCAUUAAUUUUUAGGCUAACAGUGGAUGAAACAUGAGAUGCAAAGUUAGAAACUACCUCGUUCACACAGCUAAAGGUUUGAGGAGCUAUAUUUUCCUCCAGACUGCUGGAGACCAAAUACAGAGCUAAAAUAUACUAUUGAAUGCUAAAUUCACAUUUACGAGGUUGCUAUGCAAACUUUAAAAGGUUAUGUUGAAAAAAAAUGCAUGUUAACAACUCAUUCUGUAACUCCUUGUCAUUCAUUAACCAAAACAAUGAUCAGAAAGACACAACAGAACACUUUGGUAUCUUUCAAAAUGUGCUGUUGCUGCUUUAACAAAGCAUAAGGCCUCUAAAUGUAUAUGGUGGCACAUACAGUAAUGAAUAUGAAGAUAGAUGCACACAGAUCGACACACCAUUUCCUCUUGGCUCGUUAUGACUGUCAGGUCUGCAUCUUUAUUGUUACAGAAUGUUCUGGCCGAGGACCAGCUUUUCUUGCUCGAAGAAGCAUAGUAGCAGCUGUCCUGGAACUUCCUCCAGCCGGUGUGGCAUUUCUUCUCUGUAAUUGUAAGAUAAUCAUUGAUCAAGAACUAUACACUGAGACAAUAGUGAUUGUUGAAGUGGGGUUUUGGACAACUGGAUGUAUUUUUCAUCAGACAGCAUGGUUCAUAUAGGGUUUAGUUGACCACAUGCAUUUUUCCAGUAGAGGAAACAUUUUCUUUUUUUUUUUUUUUUUUUUAACAUUUCUUUCUACUUACCUCGAAUGACUCUGUUCAGAUUGUUAACUUUUGCCAGAAGCUGGUCUCUCUCAGCAGUCAAAUUGUCGUUUUUCACCUUCAACAGGUCUCUUUCCGCCGUUACGUUCUUCACGCUGCUUUCAAUGUCGUUUUUUUCCCGAAGCAGUGAUGCAUAAGAAGCCUGCAACUCCUUUUCUGCCUUUUUAACUAAAUCAUAAGAAGCCUCCAGUGUGUCCCUUGCUGACAUCAGGUUUUGGUGACUGCUUGCUAUCUUGUCUUUCUCACCGACAGACGCAUUAUAUCUGCCCUGCAAAUAUUCUACUCUUGUGAUCAAGUCAUUGUAGCUUAACUGGAGCUGCUCUCUGGCUCUGGUUACAUUAUUGAACUUGUUCUGUAAGUUGUCCCUUUCUUUGGUGGUUGAGUCAUAACUGGCCUGUAACUCUUUUCUGUGUUUGAGAACUGAAUCAUAUUGUUUUUGUAACACGUUUUUGGCUGUACUCAAGGUACUGGUGUUUGUCUGCAGUUGGUCUUUAGAUGCUUUUAGCUGUUCUAACUCUUUGUUUAAAGCAACAUGUUCGGUCUUUAACUGGUUUUGACUAAGUGUCAAUUUGUAUGUUUCCUCACUCAGUCGGUGGUAACUCAUCUGUAAUUGGUCUUUCGUUGUAGAAAAGGUGUCAUAAUUUCGCUGUAAAUUAAUACAGUCGGCUUCCAGAUUCUUUUUCUCUUUUUGUGCUGCAUUCAGGCUCUGUUGCAGGCCAUCUUUCUCCUCACUCAUUGCCAUUAAACUGUUCUGACGGUCUCGCUCUACAUUUUGAUCUGAUAAAGAGGAGAGACAACACGCCAAUCAGUGAUUUUACUGCAAUAUCAAUGCAAUGUUGGAUAUUUGACGGAGAAAACAAACAGGUAGAACUCACAGUGCACACUUUGACCUAUGACUCCAGCCAGCAGGACAAUAGCCAGCAGCCCGAGGCAAACUGUAGCAACCUUGAAGGGGUUGUUUCUCAAUGCAUGAACUGAAAGACGGCAAGAAAAGCAGAAGCAGAAACGAAAAAUUGAUGAAGUGAUCUAAGGAACAUGCAGUUUUACUGAGCGAUGCUGCAAAAUACUAUACAAAACAGUCAUUUCACAGUCUAAGCAGUCAAUACUUUAGAAAUACACAUAAUUAGUCAUGAUCAUUAGUAUACAAUAUGCAACAUUUCCUAUAUUGACAAAAUAUAACCACAAAUAUGAACGGCAUCAAUCUUAAAAAUAAACAUUACAGCAGCAUCUCUUUCCAAAUAUUUAUUAUGAUGUUGUCAUAUAUCCGUUUCAGUGAUUUUCCCAUAUUUUCACUGUGUCAAAGAGUAACACAAGUGAAAUUCAUUUAGUAAUAAUACAUUUUUUUUCGCCACUCCUGAGCAGUGGACCAAACACAACAAGGUAACCAAAAAACUAUUUCCUUUUUAAACAUUGCACAAACAGGGAGCAACAUUAGCAAUCAUUUUGAAGCCGUGUUUUUGAUAAUUUGACAAACUUAACUCCUAUCUUCACUUUCAUUUUGGUUCUGUUUUGCGCUCCACUAACUCCAGGGGAAAAUAUCUGCUCUGUAGAUGCCAAAAAAUUACACAGUUUUAAUAAUCUUGCUGUGUGAUGUUGUGCGGAUGGAACACUAUUGCAUUUUUUUAUCCAAAUUAGUGCUCAUUGCCAAAAACACAACUCUAAAUGAAUGCUAAUGUAGCGCCACAAGUUUCCAUUCAAAUUUAGCCCAAUUCUGCUUUCUAAAUGUACAUCAAAUCACAAAAGAAAUUUCCACAUUAAGGCUUAUUUUGGUAUGUAUGACUUUUUGCAGUUCUUUUUUUUUUGCAUCAUUAAAAUGAAACUAAUCAAAAAUGGAUUUGAAACUUUGACUACUGCAAAAAUUCCCUCUCAGUUUAUGACAGGCAUUACUUCAAUGUCUGCAAUCCCUCUAAAGCAGGCGAGACAAUAAAUUAUUGCACAAUCUGAUGUGCAACAUACACUACAUAAUAAAUUACAAGCACAAAACUCAGAAAUGGAAAUUUAGAAUUAUUAUUAUUAUAUUAAUGCUUAUGAAAAUCCUGUUCAUAACCUUACUCUGCAACAACCCAAACAUGAAAACAAUAAUCCGUUUGUGAAGUUGCUUAACAAAACGUGGAUUAAGAAAGUCUCAAACCCAUUUUCCUUUCUCUUCCUUAUGAGGGUGUGAACUGAGCAAACCUGUGAACAAACCUAUUAAAUUGAGGAAGGUUACUGUCUCCCCAUUUUCCAUCUCUACAGUGGAACAGAUACUGCCGUGAAUGUUUGAAUCGCAUGUUUCAUGAACAUUGUGACCUAUCAAAUAUGUCUCCAUUUCACUUGGUUGCAUUUUAUUUUUACCGAUGCAGCAACUUUUACACCACAGCUACGUAUUAAAUUUACUUUGACUGA